rnacentral:rRNA from 1 species
GACGAACGCUGGCGGCGUGCUUAACACAUGCAAGUCGAACGGAAAGGCCCUUCGGGGUACUCGAGUGGCGAACGGGUGAGUAACACGUGGGUGAUCUGCCCUGCACUUUGGGAUAAGCCUGGGAAACUGGGUCUAAUACCGAAUAGGACCACGCGCUUCAUGGUGUGUGGUGGAAAGCUUUUGCGGUGUGGGGUAGGCCCGCGGCCUAUCAGCUUGUUGGUGGGGUAAUGGCCUACCAAGGCGACGACGGGUAGCCGGCCUGAGAGGGUGACCGGCCACACUGGGACUGAGAUACGGCCCAGACUCCUACGGGAGGCAGCAGUGGGGAAUAUUGCACAAUGGGCGCAAGCCUGAUGCAGCGACGCCGCGUGAGGGAUGACGGCCUUCGGGUUGUAAACCUCUUUCAAUAGGGACGAAGCGCAAGUGACGGUACCUAUAGAAGAAGCACCGGCCAACUACGUG